AUCUGGGCGGCGAAAUUCAGGAUGGCUGGGCUGGCCUCGCGCUAGUCUGGCCGUUUGAUGUUUUCGUCGCCAUUCGCAGACGUCGCGACCUGUUCGUCGUCGGUCCCUGCUCGGAGGAGUCGCUGUCGAGUUCGUUGUGAGCGCGCUUCGGCGCGUUUCACGGCGAAGACGCGGAUCUCUGGCUGACGAUGGACAGUAAGCAACGGUGGCCGGCGUCGUGUCUUGNACGCGACGUCGGUACCGGUCAGCGACGAUUUCUUCGGGCCUCUUUCCGACCCGUCUUGAAACACGGACCAAGGAGUCUAACAUGCGCGCGAGUCGCGGGGUAUCGAGCGUACCACGGUGCGCUCGUUACGUCACGAAACCCGUAAUGUUGAAGGCGUAAUGAAAGUGAAUGGGGAAGAUGGCGUUCCGAGUACACGUUCCGUGGUCUAGUACCGCGGCCGGACGCCCGCAUUCCCGGGGCGUCUCAACGGCUCGUCGCGAAUGCGGACGGUCGCCUUUCGGGGUGGCCGUCGGUUUGCGACGGACCGA
rnacentral:rRNA from 1 species